AGACGGAGUCAGUCCCUAAAGCUGAAGGCCUCACUCUCUCCACUGCCAUCUCUGUCUCAGACUUGAUAAAAUGUCUCUCCUUUCGUCGUGGAUCAAAACUAUUUUCAUCAUUGCCUUGGUGUUUCCUCUUUAUUCUGGUGAGUAAGUUUUCCAGUUCAAGGUGAGAUAUUUCCUGUC
rnacentral:lncRNA from 1 species